rnacentral:rRNA from 1 species
UACAGAGGACCCGAGCGUUAUCCGGAUUUAUUGGGUUUAAAGGGUGCGUAGGCGGACUAUUAAGUCAGUGGUGAAAGCCUUCAGCUUAACUGAAGAAUUGCCAUUGAUACUGAUGAUCUUGAGUAUGAUUGAGGUGGGCGGAAUGUGUCAUGUAGCGGUGAAAUGCUUAGAUAUGACACAGAACACCGAUUGCGAAGGCAGCUCACUAAGCCAUAACUGACGCUGAUGCACGAAAGCGUGGGGAGCAAACAGG